rnacentral:misc_RNA from 1 species
GCAACCUCUCAAGCACGGCUUGUGUGUUGGACCGCGUACCGACGCGUCACCCUCUCGGGGGUGAUCGCGGUGGGUGCGGGUCCGAAAUGCAGUGGCGGCGUCGCGUCUCGACCUCGCAAGCGUAUGGGGCUCUGUCACACGCUGAGCGGUCGCGCGUACCUACGCCUGCCCCCUCCACCAUCUUUCUCA